rnacentral:rRNA from 1 species
AUUGAACGCCGGCGGCAGGCCUAACACAUGCAAGUCGAGCGGAUGAGAGGAGCUUGCUCCUCGAUUCAGCGGCGGACGGGUGAGUAAUGCCUAGGAAUCUGCCUAGUAGUGGGGGACAACGUUUCGAAAGGAACGCUAAUACCGCAUACGUCCUACGGGAGAAAGUGGGGGAUCUUCGGACCUCACGCUAUUAGAUGAGCCUAGGUCGGAUUAGCUAGUUGGUAGGGUAACGGCCUACCAAGGCGACGAUCCGUAACUGGUCUGAGAGGAUGAUCAGUCACACUGGAACUGAGACACGGUCCAGACUCCUACGGGAGGCAGCAGUGGGGAAUAUUGGACAAUGGGCGAAAGCCUGAUCCAGCCAUGCCGCGUGUGUGAAGAAGGCCCUCGGGUCGUAAAGCACUUUAAGUUGGGAGGAAGGGCUUACAGCGAAUACCUGUGAGUUUUGACGUUACCGACAGAAUAAGCACCGGCUAACUUCGUGCCAGCAGCCGCGGUAA